GAACAAAGAAAUGAAAUACUACUUUCUCACAUUACAUACAAAAGUUGUUUCAACAGUACACAAUCUGAAAGAUUGAAGAACAGGCCCUUUUAUCUUUUUUUUUUUUUAAAUGUUUAGGAUCAGAAAGUGCCUUCUUCUUAGGAUAAAUAUGGAAUUACUUGGGUAACUGACACUUUCUCAUUUUUCCUCCUAUUCCUAGACUUUUAUCUUAGUAUGUUUGGGUCUUAAGCUGUAAGUGGGGGCAGAUAAAAUCAUUGCCUUUACUAUGUGAAACCUUGCCAGUUCUGGUGCUCACUUUUGUGGGCUCUGCUCAACCAUCAUGUUUCCCCCACUUCUAUGAAAGCCUUGGGAAGGCUACAAAUCAAUCUUGACUGAAACUAAGACUUUCUGCAUCAGAAAGUUUACAGCUAUUAUCUUUUACUUGCAUCGACUUAAAAACUCAUGCUCCAGAACCAGGGGAACAUUGCACACAGUAACGACAGCAAGAUUACGUGAUCAUCAACUAUGACAGACUUGGCUUUUCUCAGUAAUGUGGUAAUCCUGAGCAAUUCCAAUAACCUUUGGGAUGGAAAAAGCCAUCUGCAUCAAGAGAGAGAACUAUGGAGACUGAAUGUGGAUCAAAGCAGAGUAUUUUAACCUUUUUUUGGUUGCUUUUUACUUUCAAAGAGUUUCUUUUCCCUUUUGGUCUGAUUUUUCUUGUACAACAUGACAAAGAAACAUGUUUAAAAGGAUUGUAGAUGUUUAACUUAGAUUGAAUUGCUUGUUGUCUUGGGAGAGAUGAUUUAAGAGGAGGGAGAAAAAAAUUGGAACACAAAAUCUUAUAAGUGAAUUUUGAAAACUAUUUUACAUGUAUUUGGAAAAGUAAAAUACUACUGGGAAAAAACAAAACAAAACAAAAACUUAUGUUCCAGAUUAACAGAAAGCUGAGAGAAAUAAACAUUGAAUAGUGGUAAACAAAUAAUGUAAAAAUCUGAAAAAUGAUUUAUUUCUUAGGAAAUGAAACUAUAAGCUAUCUCCAAGCUCUAGUGAGAAGACUGAGGACAGUUUGCAUGAAGCACAUCACUAAAAUAUGGACUAAGUAAGGUGCCAUGUGCAUAGUGGUUACUUAAUAAUAAACACUUGUACUCUUUAAAAAAUAGGUAUUUAAUAAAGUACUGAAUUGAGAACAAUAAAUUAACAAGCAUUUUUAUUCAGUACUUACUAUGUGCUAGCACUGAGCUGAGCAGAGGAGGUUGGGGGAGGGGAGUUUGUCCAUCCAUGUCCUUAAAGAGCUUACAUUCCAGAAUGAGAAACAUGUCCGUAUAUAGAUACAUACAAGAUUCAUAAGAGAGUUGAUAAAGCCUAAUGAGGUCUGAGGUCAUUGGCCUUUGGUGAUUUUGGAGAAAUGUUAUAAUCAAAUAAUGAGGUUAGAAACCAGAUUGCAGAAUUUAAAACUGAUUAAGAAAAGGGAAUGGGGGGGAACUGAUUGGACAGGUCUUUCUCAUGUUUAACUGAGAAGGAAAGAAGAAGAUGACCGACCACUAGCAGAGAUGUUGGGAUCAGGUGAGUUUUUAAAAAAAGGAUAUUAUUGUAAACAACUGGGAAGAAAUUAAUACACAGGGAAUAAUUAAAAAUUAGAAUGAGAGAAGGGAUGAUAGGGAAAAACUGCUGGAGAAUAUGGGAUGGAACCAAAGAUGCAUGUAGUGGGCCUUCCUUUGGCAAGAAAUACUACCUCUUUAUUACAGACUAUGAAGGAGAGGAUAGUGGGGGAAGAUAUCUAAGUGAUCUGAGAUCAGAUGGAAGGAAGAAGAGGGAGUUUUCAGUGAUUAACCUUAUUUUGGCAAGAAAGGCUACCUUUUUAUGACAGACAAAGAUGAAGGAGGACAUAGAAGAGGAAGAUGUUUAAGUGAUUAGAGAUCAACUAGAAUGAAGAAGAGGGAAUUCUCAGUGAUUAGUCUCAAUUUUUUUUUUUUUUUUUUUUUUUUUUGGUGAAAUGUGACAAGGUUCUUAAUUCAGAGAAUAAGGAAAAGGGUACUGUGGAGGUCUGAAGAGAAAUUUAAGUUUGGAAUAGCUGUUGUGGCAAAAGGGGAAGUCAAAUAUUUGGGGAGCUCUAUUCAGCAGCAUAUGAAUAGGAGCAAAGUGAUGGAUGGAGGGAGUCAUCCAAGGACGGGGUUUGACAAGGCAUAAUCAGGGACAGGACAAAGGGGAAAAGAAUUUGAGUGUAAGGGAUAAUGUAACAUUUAACUGAUCACCAAGCAUUGGGAAUAAUGAAGAGAGUAAAGUGUAGUAAAUAUAAGAAUGAUGACUUGGAAAAGAAUGGAGAUUAGAAGGAUUGGAGAUCAUAAUAACGAUGAAGAACCAAAUUUAAGGGUCAUAAGAAGAAAAGAAUGGCUAAAGAUUAUGACUAAAUAAAACAGGUUUAGUUCUGUCACCUUGGAAGUGGAACAUUUGUGAAUGAAAGCAAGAUCAAAGGCAUUACCUACAAACAGAUGUGUGUGUGGCUGAGGUAUAGCUUACAGGAAUUGAGUAGGUUGAGAACUGGGAAAUUAGGGAAUAUCAACAUGCAUAUUGGGGUCUUCUAAUAUGAAGGCAGGGGUUGUGGAAAAGAGAAAAACUGUGAAAAACUGCAUUCAUUUAAAUGGCUUCAGGCUUCAGGCUGUCUCCCUUAUGACCUGUAUAAUAUGUGCAGGCUCUUAUCUACUUGAGCCUUGGCCAGAUAGAAACAUAUUUACUUAACCUGAGCUGAUGACAUUUAUUGGUAUUUGGCAUUUAUCGUUAUUUAGUCUAUUAGCUGGACCACUGUCUGCUUGAUUAAGCCUGAAGCCUGACUUUCUGUUUCCUAGAAAUCAGAAGAUUUCAGGCAAACAGAAAACCUUCCAUUCCAAUCUCCCCAAAUAGCAACAACCAAUUAGAUGCCUCCCCCUCCCCUUCUCAGUGCUCUUUCACUUGUGAUGUAAUUUCUUGUAUAAAAGCUAUGUAUCUUUACUACUUUUUUAGCCCUCUACAGUGAGCUUUCUCUUUCUUAUCUCGCGAUGGGACGGCUCAUCCUCCGGAGGUUUUCAAUAAACAACUUUUCUGCCUUCUAUUUUUUUUUAAAUUUAAUUUAAUUUUAUAAUAACUUUUUAUUGAUAGAAUCCAUGCCAGGGUAAUUUUUUUACAAUAUUAUCCCUUGCACUCACUUCUGUUCCGAUUUUUCCUUUCCCUCCCUCCACCCCCUCCCCUAGAUGGCAAGCAGUUCUAUAUAUGUUAAAUAUGCUGCAGUAUAUCCUAGAUACAAUAUAUGUUUGCAGAACUGAACAGUUCUCUUGUUGCACAGAGAGAAUUGGAUUCAGAAAGUAAAAAUAACCUGGGAAGAAAAACAAAAAUACAAAUAGUUCACAUUCAUUUCCCAGUGUUCUUUCUUUGAAUGUAGCUGCUUCUGUCCAUCAUUUAUCAAUUGAAACUGAGUUAGGUCGCUUUGUCAAAGAUCUGCCUUCUACUAAGUGGUCUGUGAGUAAUCAUUUUGGGUAAGGGUCUUCUACAUCCCUCACAGAUGGGGGCUCGUCCGGGAUGGGGUCUUUGGGGAAGACGGCUACGUGUACCCCGAACAGGGACAGGCGCCCACGGAGUAGUUUUCUCCAGGGUCUCUGGCUCUGGGUGAGCAGCCUCCCUCCCCUUUUAGACAACAACCCGAGGCAGGGAUACUCAGUGGAACGCAGAAUUGAAGAUUGAAGGAAGUAUAGUCCUGAUGGCCGGCAUUUGCAGUCUGAAAAGAAACAUAUGUUCUCGAGGUAAAGCUCUUGGGAAGUCUGGGGGUGUAUUGGCUGAGUCGAGGGAGACCCUGAGGGAUUAGCCCUCUUAAAUUUAUUUUUGGUGUGGACUGCUGUUGACCCCAAUGAUAAAGGACUUUUCCUAAAGAGGCUCUCGGGUGGCUGUGGGGGCGUGAGGGUAAUGUAGGGCCUCCACCUGGGUGUGAGGAUAACAUAGGGCCUCCGCCAACAUCUGGAUCAGGUCCAGGGUGGUAUAGAAGCAGUCCAAAAAUUUGUAUCAGGACAUUAGCUAGGAAAUUCAAGACUGGAAUGAACUUCCCAGAUAUACAAGGGAAGAAAACAGGGAUGAUGUAUAUCCCAGGACUAUUUGGGUAUAUCAGACUUAAAUCUGUAUGUAAAAGGUGAAAAUAGAGUUUUGUGAAUGUCUGUGUGUAUGUCUGCUUUGCAUUGCCUUUGUUCUGUGUUAAAAGUUAGAAAGCUUAUAAGAGAUAAGAAUUCAGCUCUGUGUUAUAGGCUUAGAAAAAUUUCAGGCUGAAUUGUGGGAACUGGAAUUCAUUCAGAGUAGUAAUUCUUUCAGAGUGGCUCAGAAUGUAUUGGUCUUAGAAUUUGGGAACUAGUUUUGGGUUUCUCAAGAAAAGAAAAUCAUUUUUCUCUUUCUCUUCCUCUGUCUCUGGCAGUGGCUUUGCAGGAAGGGGGAGAGAAGGGGAAAAAGUAAAAAACAUAGAUUUAAAGUUUGGAAAGUUUUGAGAAAAUAGAAGAACAGUAUCUAUCACUCCUGUAAACAAGGAGCCUGUUAUCAGGACUCAGCCAGAGAAAAGAAUUCUCAAGAUAAAGCAAGGAUUGGUGCUUAACUCUUUCCUGGUUACUAAAGAAAAGAUGUGGGAAUGAAGUAUCUAGGUAGAUUUUAGGAAAUUUCACAAACUGAAGUACUGGUUAAUUUUAAAAUAACUUUAAAUUGGUGUGUAUGUUAAGACUGGAAAAUUUAAGAUUGGAAAUAAGAAACUGCAGAUAUUGGAAGUGAGGAAUAAAAACAGAGUAAGAGAGUUGAACACAGAGGCAUUCUGACCUGUUGAACCUGUGCAUACUUCUAAAGAAAAAAAAAUUUUCAGGAAAAGAAAGAAAAAUCAUUAUUAGUAAAUUUGCCUUCAUGGAAUUAGAGAACAGAACUAAACCGGGUAAUUGUUUGCAAUAUCUGAUUAAGAGUUUUGGGAAUUUACUAUAUUUUAAAGAGGUACUAUAAUUUUGAAAAUGAAAUAAAAUUAAAAUUGGGGGAAAUAAUUUACUGUUGCCUUGCACAUGUUAGAUUUAUUCUGAGUAUAAAAUCUUAAGAAUUUUUCGACUAUUGUGGCCUUUACAACUGAAGAGAAAAACUUUUCUUUUUUUUUAUUAUUUGGUUGGACUUCAAAUUGAAAUAUAGGUUAUUAAACAAAAUGCCAGUAGCUUACCUUAGGAGGGGCUCAUGUUUGUAUCUCCUUACUUAAAUGGUAUGUUGCUUUUUAAAAGUAUUGGGUAAUUUGUAAACUAUAUUAUAAGUUUUAUGAAAUUUGAUUCAAAAUUAGUUGUGAAUCUUGAAGUUUAAAGUUUUAAAAAAGUGAUUUAAAGACAAGGAAAAAGAGAUUGAUUUACAAAAGCAAUUAAUAAUUUAAAUAGAGCAUCUAGUCAGAAGUAUUUCGGAGCAGGUUUGAGCAAGUAGGCAUUGGUAGGAAAGAGACAGAGAGAUGGGACAGGAGAAUGAAGGUGAUUUAAGAAGGAUUGAUUAGUAGAAGCAAACGAUUUCAAGAAGAAAUCAGAGGGAAAAAGAAGGAAUUAGUUGGAAAGGAGAGACACAGAGAGAUGGUUGUGAGAUGGGAUGUGUUUUUUUGCGGGGAGAGCAGCAAAGCAACAGUGGAAAGCGGCAGCUGCUUGGUUCCUUUAGCUGAAGAAAACAAAUGGUUAUUUAAAGAGACAAACUGCUCUUACAAGAUGUUAAUUGAUUGAAUAUUUGUUUCUUUAGAUACAUAAUGGUUAUGAAUAUUAAAUAAUAUGAUCAGAAAUGUGGUAUAUAGUUUGAAAGGGUUAUUUCAAAAAGUUUAAUUGAUGUUUUCAAGAACUUUUCAGAUUCUUUUUAUGUGAAAAUAGGAAGUUUUAAUUAAUUGUAUUGAUGCCAAUUAUCUGAAAUGGGACUCCAAGGAUAAUAGUUUUUGCCUUCUUCCUUUUGAAAAUGUUUUUGUUGUGAACCAUAUGUAGUUUGGGGUUUUUCUGUAUAUUGGGCAUUUUAAAAGCAAAAUGAUUGGUAUACUAUUAAAUUUAUUCAAGAUGCAACAUCUACUUGGGUACAUAAGAAUUGUGUGAAUUUUCUGGGAUAAAUUUCUUACUGUUACUGAUAUAAGGUCAUGGUAAAUAACUGUUUGGGAUUUAUUUGAAACUUUGGAGAUGAAAUUCUUUGGGCUUGUAAUUAAUUCUAUUUGGGAGUUUUAAAGCUCCACUCUUUGAUGUGCUGAAGAUUGAGUUUUAACUGCUUAUAUUAUGUAAUAGUUAUGUUCUUGCAUUUUUUCCUCCUGUCACUGAUUUCUAUGAUCAGAACAAUAGUUAAUAAGAACUGUUAAUGCAAUUCAAAUAUGUCAUACCUUGCUGUUUCCAAUCUGGUUAUAUGUAAUCAUUAUAUCCUAAAUACUUAGGCAAAUAAGUAUUUAGCCUGGUCAUCUGUCUGUUACUGGAUAUUUGUGUUUUAUUUUUAAAUUGUUUUUUUAAAUGAUAAGAGGACAAUUUACAAUGGUCUGUGAAACCUAACUGCUAUUUAUUGGGACUAUAGCUGUCUGCCUGUCCUGUGAAGCAAACUUGUUCCUUUACAUAGGAACUGCUGGCCAAUCUAUACUGGCCUCCCCACAUGUUGUUGCAGGUCCAGACUGUUCUAACCUUGUUAGAUUUGGUUUUUUGUUGUUCUAGAUUUUGGUCAAAUUACAGAUUAUUGAAUCUCUUUUGAGACAUGGAUCGGCCCAUCUGAAGCUUAGAUUGAUACCACACCCACACCCCUGCAUGCAUUGAGCGCCUUCGUCCAUUUCUCAGCUAAGAUCGAGACCAUCGCCAGUGCUCCUGAUGCAAUUUGGACUGAUAUGGGGGAAGUGGGAAAGUGGUUGAUGAAUUAUUGUCAAAAUUACAGUUCUAUUACUAGAGUUAGAAAAAAAUGCAAACAUUACUGUGUAUUUAAGAUUUGGGAUGGAAAUUAUUAAAAUUGGUAACUGUUGCUGUUAAGGAAGUUAUAAUAUGUUUAUAAUAUCUAUGUAUAUUCACUUCAGAAUAUGUAAUUGUUUGAGAGAUUUGAUUUUUUUUUUUUUUUUGAGGAAACUCCUCCUGUACUAGUCUGUUAUGUAUAGGAACUUUAAUUCACUCUUGGGAUUUAUGUGUGGGAUGGUUACUUGACUUUUUUUUUUUUUUUUUUUGGAUGAUGCCUUUCCAUGAGGGAAAAAAAAAAAGGAGAGGAAGAGAUAGGGAACUAGGGAAACUGGUGGAUUCUUCUCAAAAUAUCUAAAAGAGUGGGAACCCUUAGUUUUCUGUUCACUUUGCCUUAGGUACUUCUGCCCCACCCCCUAUAUCACCAGUUCAGAUUGAAUUGGAAGUCCUUAAACAAUCCUUUUUGUUUUUACUAUAUUUUAGUUUUGAAACCCCUUAUUUUGUGGAAUUGCCCUGGCAGACUCAGUUUUUGGGACUAUUUUGUUUUUAGGAAAUUUCCAAGACAUAUACACCCAUCUUGGGACUGGCAGUCUCCAACCCUGUAACCCCAGUUUCUUAAUUGGUAGCUCAGCAUUUUAAAUAACAUUGCAAUUUUGAGAUCAAGCCUCUAAAGUUUGGGAUUUGCCUGCCUUGAUGGUCUAACUGUGCAUACUCUGAUAGCUCUGCUCAGAAAUCUGUAUUCUAGUAGCAGUCCUGUCUGUCACUCUGGGUGGGGACAGGUGGAGCUACUCUAAGCCUCACCCUUCUCCCCUGGAGUGGGGUGCCCCUCUGAAUGGGCAUCAUGUUGGUCUUGAGCCCUGCUACUCCCUAUAUAAGCAGAAGCUGAGUUAAGUGCACAAAUGACUGCAGACCACCUAACACAGUGAACCGUCCAUCUCAAACUGGAUUCUCUGGCAGAGAUGCGAGCCUUUGUACUGCUGAUAACUCUGGGGUUGUCAGGAAGAGACUUGCCCUUGCCAUAAGUCCUUGCAUUUUCUAGUUUAAUUUUGAUUUAUUUGCCUCACAUUGGAUUGGUCAAAAUUAUGGUGCUGAGACCUCCCAGGUAUCUAGGGGAGGUAAUUCAAUAAUUCAAAUAUUCAGAAGAAGAGUGUAUAAUGUUGUGCCUCGGUUUCCCUAGAUUGUCACCUUUGUUAAUUUAUCUUUGUAUUUUUAUGUUUUCCAUUUGCCAAUCUGUUCUGUGAUAGCUGUUUCUAAGAGUUGGUGGAAGCAAUUUUUAUGGUAUGAACUUAUUACAAUGAACGGUAUUAUCCUGUUGUCGCUAUGUCUACCCUGUAUAAUUACAUUAUUCUGAACACAGAAUAGUUAAAUGGUCCCUAUCAAAAUAUUGCAUACAGAAGAUGCUAUUAAAAUGAUGAUUCUUCAGAGAAAAGACUGGAAUGUAUUAAAGAGAAAUGAUCUUGAUUGUGAACUUGAUAAACAAUGUAUAGAUAUAUUAACUGAUUUUGAACAGUGUGUAAGUUCUUCAUAGAAAUAUGAUAAAAAUCAUUUACAUAUUAGAAGGGAGGAGUUGUGGGGAAUAGAUAAGGUGAAGAACUUACAGGAAUGUAUGAAUUCUUUUUCUGUAUUUUAUUAUUUCUGUGUCUCCCCUAUGACCUGUAUAAUAUGUGCAGGGUCAUAUCUACUUGAGCCUUGGCCAGAUAGAAACAUAUUUACUUAAACAUAUUUACUUAACCUGAGCUGAUGACAUUUAUUGGUAUUUGACAUUUAUCAUUAUUUAGUCUAUUAGCUGGACCACUGUCUGCUUGAUUAAGCCUGAAGCCCUGACUUUCUGUUUCUUAGAAAUCAGAAGAUUUCAGGCAAACAGAAACCUUCCAUUCCAAUCUCCCCAAAUAGCAACAACCAAUUAGAUGCCUCCCCCUCCCCUUCUCAAUGCUCUCUCACUUGUGAUGUAAUUUCUUGUAUAAAAGCUAUGUAUCUUUACUACUUCUUUAGCCCUCCUACCACGAGCUUUCUCUUUCUUAUCUCGUGAUGGGAUGGCUCAUCCUCUGGAGGUUUUCAAUAAACAACUUUUCUGCUUUCUACU